GACGAACGCUGGCGGCGUGCCUAAUACAUGCAAGUUGAGCGAUGAAGAUUGGUGCUUGCCCCAAUUUGAAGAGCAGCGAACGGGUGAGUAACGCGUGGCGAAUCUGCCUUUGAGCGGGGGACAACAUUUGGAAACGAAUGCUAAUACCGCAUAACAACUUUAAACAUAAGUUUUAAGUUUGAAAGAUGCAAUUGCAUCACUCAAAGAUGAUCCCGCGUUGUAUUAGCUAGUUGGUGAGGUAAAGGCUCACCAAGGCGAUGAUACAUAGCCGACCUGAGAGGGGGAUCGGCCACAUUGGGACUGAGACACGGCCCAAACUCCUACGGGAGGCAGCAGUAGGGAAUCUUCGGCAAUGGACGAAAGUCUGACCGAGCAACGCCGCGUGAGUGAAGAAGGUUUUCGGAUCGUAAAACUCUGUUGGUAGAGAAGAACGUUGGUGAGAGUGGAAAGCUCAUCAAGUGACGGUAACUACCCAGAAAGGGACGGCUAACUACGUG
rnacentral:rRNA from 1 species